rnacentral:rRNA from 1 species
UGAGGAAUAUUGGUCAAUGGUCGCUAGACUGAACCAGCCAAGUAGCGUGCGGGAUGAAGGCCCUCCGGGUCGUAAACCGCUUUUAGACGGGGAUAAAAGGGCGUACGUGUACGCCGUAUUGCAUGUACCGUCAGAAAAAGGACCGGCUAAUUCCGUGCCAGCAGCCGCGGUAAUACGGAAGGUCCGGCGUUAUCCGGAUUUAUUGGGUUUAAAGGGAGCGUAGGCGGACUUUCAAGUCAGUGGUAAAAUCGUGUGGCUCAACCAUACCUCGCCAUUGAAACUGGAAGUCUGGAGUGCACACAGGGUGCCGGAAUUCAUGGUGUAGCGGUGAAAUGCUUAGAUAUCAUGAAGAACUCCGAUCGCGAAGGCAAGUGCCCGGGGUGCAACUGACGCUGAGGCUCGAAGGUGCGGGUAUCGAACAGGAUUAGAUACC